rnacentral:lncRNA from 1 species
AGAAAGCAGGGAUUCAGGAACAAGGAAACAAGCCCUCCACUGCUGGGAGAGGCGUGGGGAAAACUGAAACAGGGGAACUCUCGGAAGAAAUGACAACCUGUUCCUCCUGCCUUUUGGGAUCUUGCGAUGUGGGCCCGGAUUUGCUUUAUAUCAUUUUCUUGUUGUUCCAUGUCACGUGGAAGAAUGCCUUGGAGGAGGCUGUCUGCAAACACUGGCAGUAUUCUUAGAGGAAGCUUGGGUUUGGGGCCUAGACACAUCCAGUCUCCAUGAAACGAUGAGAACAGCUGUCCUGAAAUGACAGAGCAAGAAACCUGCGCAGCAACAGCCUCAGAGAGGCCCCUUAAUAUACCUUCUCUACUAUGAAAAAUCAGAUUUUGUGAACAAUUUGGCAUGAGGAGAGAAAGGAACCUGAAGUUUUUAGCAAGGAAGGAUGAGACAGCAUCUAUCACGAGGAGGGGAGCCAGAGAGAAGAGCUGGUCCUCGGACUCCUGCAGCACGCUUCUCCCAUUUUCUAUCCCCAACCUCACACACAAACCAGCUAUGUUUUAUAUGAGUGGAAAUGGGAACUAAAUGCCAUUACUGACAAGGACAAUAAAGUGCAUUUGAGCUGGAAAUGACCCAGAGACGUCAGUAGCACAUCCUCUUUAUUAAAAAGUAACACAUAAGCAAACAUGUUUGUGAUAAAACAUUCAGACAGCAGACAGGGUUCCAAGUUGAGGGCCCCUAAUGCAUGCUGGACAUUCUGGAAGCAUGGACACAGAUGAGUUUAGAGGUGAGGAAGCACAGGUCGUCUGAGGCUGUGAAUCAGUGGGACCACCCUGAGGCCUGUUCGCAGAUGCCCUACGCCCAGGUCGACUCUUGCGAUAAUAUUGGGUUCAGUUGCAUCUCAUGUCCUUAUAGAAACCUUCUGCUUUUAUUAGGUUGGUACAAAAGUAAUUGUGAUUUUUGCCAUUUACUUUUGCACCAUCCUACUUUUUGUCAUCAUGUUUGCCUGAGCACAAUUAUACCUUUAGUGGGAUAUUAUAUGCCAUGUAUUCCCCCAAUGGGCCUUCCUACUCCUUCUCCAGAAACUGUCCUACCUGCUAUUUUAAUUUUAAUCCAUUCAAUCUUCAUAACAAUUCUGUACUACACUGUUGUUAUUAUUAUCAUUAUUAUCGAUAUCUUGAUUGUAUGGAUUUGAAAACUGAGGCUCAGAAAGUUAAGUAAAUUGCCCCAGGUUAUAGAGGUAGUAAAGAAUAAAGCUGUGUGUUCCUCCCAUAAUUACAAGCUCCUUUACUGGUAGAAUGAUGGUUUCAAUCUUUUCUUGGAGACCAUAGUCACUGGCAUGUAGAAAAUGCUCAAUUAAUGUUCACUGAUUGAAUUAAUAAAUUCCUAAGGA